UACCAUUUGUACAGAACAAAAUUAUUAUGCCUAUGGAAAGUGAAUGAGUGAGCAAGCCCUGCGAUGGACUGGGAGAGGCUCCAGCCCCCAGUAACAAUAGUAAAGGAUAAAGCAUCGGACAAUCAUUCUGACUUUGCACACGUGUUUUUCUAUAACAAAACAUGGCAGGUAGAUUUGUAGUAGUGUGAGUUAUGAAGGAAAAAGUUCAAAGACGGCCUUCCUUGUAUCUCAUCCAAAUGGUGCUCACUGCAGAGCCAAAUGACAUCCAGCUCCGCCUCUCUGGACAUGACGGGUGGAGAUUGACCUAGUUCAGCUAAUGGGUGGAGUUAUGAACAACUAUAGGGUUACGAGUUACGGUGGUUUGACCGUCUAGCUGACAUCAAGCUCUCUGCAGUGAGCAGCAUCUGAGCAGGAUUUUCCGAGAGCUCUUACAGAGAUGAAGUGUGUGUCCUGUGCUGUUCAUCAGAGGGGGCUUUCACUGACCCUCAUUCACUCAGAUGAAGCAUCUCAUCUAUGAGAUGACACGCUGAAGAGCGAGUCUAAUUCUAAAAACAGACAUGUCAAAUCAGCGGCAAACUACUCGAGUGGCGUGCGGGUUACCAUUCAUGCUAUUUUCAGUCUGUUGUGAUAGAACGGAGCUUGCGGAGCACGUUAACUGACUAAAUAGGCUUCACGCUGCUUCUGCUUGACACCAUAUGAGAGUGUGCCAUCCGUGAGCCCGUUUCCUAAGGUGCAUGUUAUCUUCUUCCUCUACAGAUGAGUGCAGUUGGCAGCUCCUGUUGGGGUUCUCCGGAAGGGCAGAUCCUGGUUCACGUGCUGCAGAAACUGGCGCUGUCUACUGGGUCUCAAUCAGACAUGACAGUGGGAUCAGUAGCUGCAGAGAUUCUGAAGUCCAUCGGGUCCCAGGCAGAAUUGAGGUCCUCUCCUGCUAUUUAAUGUGUGUAUAGACUUGUAAAUUAUAUUUUCGCAACAGACUACUGAACACUUUUUAAAAAGUAUUCCAGAAUUUUUUUCAAAAAUAAAAAAGUUCACAAAAUUAAAUUUAGUCCAUUUUAUUGUUUAGCCAGGUCAUAACCAAGUCUCCAACCAACAAUUGCAGGCUACAAUAAUUAGGGGUUCUUUUCAAAACCUUUCUAAAGCUACCAUCAAAAAAAUAGAUCAAGACAAGGAAAAAAAAAAGAAAUGAAAAAAAGAAA